UACGUAGGGUCCGAGCGUUGUCCGGAAUUAUUGGGCGUAAAGAGCUCGUAGGCGGUUUGUCGCGUCUGCCGUGAAAGUCCGGGGCUCAACUCCGGAUCUGCGGUGGGUACGGGCAGACUAGAGUGAUGUAGGGGAGACUGGAAUUCCUGAUGUAGCGGUGAAAUGCGCAGAUAUCAGGAGGAACACCGAUGGCGAAGGCAGGUCUCUGGGCAUUAACUGACGCUGAGGAGCGAAAGCAUGGGGAGCGAACAGG
rnacentral:rRNA from 1 species